CAAAUCCAUUUCCUCCUUUUGCUGGGUACUCAGCCAGAUUCCUUUCCCAGCCUUCCUCAACUUUGUGACUGAAUUUUAGCCCAUAGAUUGUGAACAGAAGCUAUGCACGUUACUUUGGAGAUGAGAUGAGUAAGAAGUGGGUACACCUUCUCUCCCCUUUAUGUCUUCCUGCUGAGGGCCAUGAAGCCUAGGAGAGGAAGGAACCCCAAGUUUAAAAGGAUAUGGAUCCUUGAAAUACUUCUUGGAGGACAGCUGCCUGCCAUUCUGAAAUGUUUGCGCCAGCUUCAUAUAACCAUGAUCCUGCCCUCCGGAAGUCAGAAAAGAAUGAAUAACUUUGAACACAUCACAGCAAUAAAAAUAUAAGAAUAAUGCUGGGGUCAUCACAAACAGAGGCAGAUGGUGGUGGCAUUUCCUUCUUGCCGGGAGCUCAGAUAUUAUCUGGAUAGAUUUCAGCAGGCUUUGUGUCCAUUCCCUCUCAGCGCGGGCAGCUUUCCUGGAUAGAGCCCCAGCCACCCAAACGGCAGACAGAUUUGAUUUAACUGCGAUGACUUGUGUAUCGGGUGACUUUGGAUGGUUUAAAACAAUGGCCUGUGGAAUCUACUUACACAGCACUAUGGGAAUGAGGAUGAAGGGUCAUAUCCAUGGUUAAUCCGAUCAAUUGUCUGCUACACACAGAGAAUAUAAAAUGAGAGAUCAGAUGGAAGGACCAAGACCUGGAACCUGGACAUAGUCCCUGGAAAGAACCGAGCUUGCCUGCAAACUGGCUCAUUCAGGAUGUGAGCACAAGAUGGAAUUCAACCUUUAAUAUGCUGCAACACCUGCUUGGAAAUAAAGGGGCUCUGUGCUUUUCCCCCCAAGGAGUUGACAGCUGACUUCAUUACAGAGGAAUCUGGCAGAGAUGGCCGUGGCUACUCCUCAGCCUCCGGAGGCACUCACCCAGGAAUGCAGUGCCAACCAGACCUGAGCUUUGGGAUUCUGCCAGAAACCCAUGCUGGGCCAUUUUACCCUAAAUCAUUCCUCUUCCUUGAACUCUAGGAGUUUUUCUACCUUUGGUAGAGCUGCCUCCAGACAAGGGAGAUGAGAAGAGGCUCUGGCCUGCUGACGCUAAGUGGAGAAGCAUUUGCAGGUGUUCUCCAAUGGGAUCUGGAUUUUCAAACUUUCUUUCUCAAGGGUUCUGCAAUGUUGCACCCCAACAGGCACAAAGGCAGGGCUGCCAUGCUCUACAGAGUGGAACUUGAAGAUUCAUCAGAGACCUUGUCCAAGAUUUGGAACAGACCCAGCGUUGUUCCAAGGAACCUAACCCAGCCUGUGAGAGACUCCUACAGGCCGUCUCUGGUGCCACAACCUUCCAUUGGGGCUGGAACACUGGUUAUGCUUAUGAGCUUUCAAAGUAGAAUGUCAACCUCAUCACCCAUUUGCAUGAUUUCCAAAGCAUAUUAAUCUGGCUUCCACUAGUAACACAGAAUAUAACAUAUCUUACUUGCAACAGGAAAUAUUUCCUUUCUACUAUUUGCUAUUCUUCAUCAUUAAAAAAAAUCUGUCUGAAAUCUAAAUACCCAGAAAGAGGGGUGGGCUCACAGGGAACACAACCAUUUGGUGGAUCACUGCUCAACCUGAAGCAACAGAAAUAUGAAGGCCACAGAGCAACUUCAAAACUGCAUUUGAUGCUAAUUUAAAACAAAGUACUACUCAAACUUUCAUAGAUGAAAAUCACAUAAUUUUUAAACAAAUACUUUAAAUAGUCUGAAAUGAGAAAUAAUUGAUGCCAAAGGUCAAAACUGGCAAUCCAAGAGUUGGGUCUGGCCCGAAAGUGUGUCUCAUAUGGCCCACACGGUGGGGGUCAGCUGAGUUUGAAUAAAAAACGGAGUAGGUUGCCAACAUUUAGAAAUUGGCACAUGGCACAUAACCACCCGGAUUGCUGCCUUCUCCUGAGACACUGGGCAAUCUGGCCUCGGCAGGCUGCUUUCCCUCCAGGCAACAGUUGGGGGCAGGUGAUGGGCAUUUGUCAUCCAGGUUGCCAGAGUCCCUGCUGGGCCAGAUUUCUCGCUCAUUGAGUUUGUAAGCCUGGCCCAGGUGCAAGGGUGGUAGGGUUCUGGGUCAUUUUCCCUCUCUCCCCUUCUUCCAAAACUUGCUCUUGGUUAUUAUGCUACUUCAGAGUUAAAAUAAUCAUUAAAUGCCCAGUUGUAAAAGGUAAUGUGGAGGAAGAGAGUCUGAGGCCCAUACUACUUCUCUACUUCUUGGAUGUUAUUUUCACAUUUCUAGCCUUACGCCCAGUGCACUCGCUUGAGAAUGUGAGCGUGGCCCCGUGGUUCUCGAACGUGGCUACACUAGAAUCACCUGGGGCACUUUUGAUGUCCAGCUUGCACUCCAGACCAAUUAAAUCAGACUCUUGGGAAGUGGGAUUCAGGCAACAGAUUUUUAAAGUUCCCAGGUGAUUCCAAUGUAAAAAGGUCCUUGAAAAAAUCAUGGAAAACUUUAUGUUAGAGCAGUUUCUCAAGCUCGUCACUAUUUUCAUUUGGGACCUGAUAAAUCUUAUUUCUGGGGACCAGUCCUAUGGACUGUAGGAUGUUUAGCAGCAUCUCUGGCCUCUACCCAUAGAUGCAGUAGCAUUUCUCCAGAUGAGAACCACGGCAUUCGAUAGUGAAACUAUGGUCAUUUUUUUUUUAAAGAUUUUAUUUUUUUCCUUUUUCUCCCCAAAGACCCCCGGUAGAUAGUUUCUUUGUUGUGGGUCCUUCCAGCUGUGGCAUGUGGGACGCCACCUCAGCGUGGCCUGAUGAGCAGUGCCAUGUCCGCGCCCAGGACUCGAACCAAUGAAACACUGGGCCGCCUGCAGUGGAGUGCGUGAACUUAACCACUCAGCCACGGGGCCAGCCCCCGAAACUGUGGUCAUUGUAUUGGCCACUUGCCUGUAUAUAAGGUCACUGAGAAAUUUCUCUUGGAAUUAAAAUCUAGGAACAAAAUUUUUCUCUUAAGAAAGUGGUUCCCUUUUGUUGUUUUUUUCCCCUUUACUAUCAGGAAGCUCAAAGCCAAUGCUAAAAUGCAUUCAAAACCAAAACUAAAGCAGAAACAAGACAACUACUCCAGUGUGUUUUCUCCCCUCUGCAUGUCUGCCUGAUGCUAAUUUUCCUAUUAACGUUUUGUUAAUCUUUAAGUUGCUUUACAUUCUUAGGGAAUAAAGUAGGAAAUAAAUAUAAAGAAGGUAACAAGCAAAAGGAGGGAAUGACUGUUCCAUGCACUGCUUGGUAUUUAUGACCCAAAGAACAGUUGGUCAUAAGGAAGACCUGCUAAAUUUGAAUGACCUCAUAGUUUUUGGAGGAUCAGCCAGGCAUACAUGGCAAAUAAGGGUCAACCCCUUUAGCCUCCAGCUUUGUCUGGGAAGAGGCUGAGCUAUGGGGGUGUUGAAGGAGCCCAAUGGCCACCAUGUGGUGGCCUCUAGGAGAAUAAGCACAAGCUUCUGUUGUUUCCUGAGAAUGCCACCUCCUGCUGUUUACUAGGAGUCUGGGAAGUGUCUGAGAGGCGAUGCUGUUCAGGGCAACCUGGGAUCCAGCCCUGGGAUAACACCAUCACCUGCUUUCCGUGAAUGAAGAGCAGAUUACUUUUAGUAAAUACAACCACUCAUUAAUAACCCUAAGUUUUAAAGCUUUUAAAGAAAUCAUUAUUAAGUGUGGCUACUUCAUUUUAAAUGCAAAAACCUUGAAUAGACCAGAGAUCUUAAUUUUUUUAAAGAAGCUGAGUAUUUUAAUUAUGAAUGUACUUGCAUAUUCUUAGCAUACUUCAUUAUUUAUGUAGCCGGUGAAAAAGCUUUCUAAUUAAAUAGCAUGCUGGCAAUCCAUUGUGAAAUGUAUAAAUGCAGGUUUUCCUAGCAUUAAAAAACUACACACAAACACACACGAACCAUUCUGGCAAGCACACAUCCUUUAAUCGCUAUGAGAUACUUGUUUCUGAAUGAUCUUAAGCUUUAUCAAACUUUUGUUUUAUUGGUAACAAAAUAAACAGUAUAAUUUGCCAGCACUCUGCAUGGUUAUACACAUUUAAUACAUUCAACUAACUUGGAAAUGGGGUAGCACAGUGGUUCUCAAAGUGCGGUCCCCAUGCCGGGAGCAUCAGCAUCACCUGGGAACUUAUUAGAAAUACAAAAUUUUGAACCCCACCCCCCGCCACCUGAAUCAGCAGUUCUGGGGAUUGGGCCCCACCCUGUCCUGUAACAAGCCCUCCAGGUGAUCCUGAGGCAGGCUAAAGUUUGGGAACCAUGGGGAUGAGGACUAUGCCUUGUGGUGC
ensembl:lncRNA